CCGUAACUAUAACGGUCCUAAGGUAGCGAAAUUCCUUGUCGGGUAAGUUCCGACCCGCACGAAUGGCGUAACGAUGGCCACACUGUCUCCUCCUGAGACUCAGCGAAGUUGAAGUGGUUGUGAAGAUGCAAUCUACCCGCUGCUAGACGGAAAGACCCCGUGAACCUUUACUGUAGCUUUGCAUUGGACUUUGAAGUCACUUGUGUAGGAUAGGUGGGAGGCUUUGAAGCAGAGACGCCAGUCUCUGUGGAGCCGUCCUUGAAAUACCACCCUGGUGUCUUUGAGGUUCUAACCCAGACCCGUAAUCCGGGUCGGGGACCGUGCAUGGUAGGCAGUUUGACUGGGGCGGUCUCCUCCCAAAGAGUAACGGAGGAGUUCGAAGGUUACCUAGGUCCGGUCGGAAAUCGGACUGAUAGUGCAAUGGCAAAAGGUAGCUUAACUGCGAGACCGACAAGUCGAGCAGGUGCGAAAGCAGGACAUAGUGAUCCGGUGGUUCUGUAUGGAAGGGCCAUCGCUCAACGGAUAAAAGGUACUCCGGGGAUAACAGGCUGAUUCCGCCCAAGAGUUCAUAUCGACGGCGGAGUUUGGCACCUCGAUGUCGGCUCAUCACAUCCUGGGGCUGUAGUCGGUCCCAAGGGUAUGGCUGUUCGCCAUUUAAAGUGGUACGUGAGCUGGGUUUAAAACGUCGUGAGACAGUUUGGUCCCUAUCUGCAGUGGGCGUUGGAAGUUUGACGGGGGCUGCUCCUAGUACGAGAGGACCGGAGUGGACGAACCUCUGGUGUACCGGUUGUAACGCCAGUUGCAUAGCCGGGUAGCUAAGUUCGGAAGAGAUAAGCGCUGAAAGCAUCUAAGCGCGAAACUCGCCUGAAGAUGAGACUUCCCUUGUGGUUUAACCACACUAAAGAGUCGUUCGAGACCAGGACGUUGAUAGGUGGGGUGUGGAAGCGCGGUAACGCGUGAAGCUAACCCAUACUAAUUGCUCGUGAGGCUUGACUCU
rnacentral:rRNA from 1 species